ACUAACAAGGAUUGCCUCAGUAACGGCGAGUGAAGCGGCAAAAGCUCAAAUUUGAAAUCUGGCUCCUUUGGGGUCCGAGUUGUAAUUUGCAGAGGGUGCUUUGGUGUUGGUGGGAGCAUAAGUUCCUUGGAACAGGGCGUCACAGAGGGUGAGAAUCCCGUAUGUGGUUCCUAUCCUUCACCGUGUAAAGCCCCUUCGACGAGUCGAGUUGUUUGGGAAUGCAGCUCUAAAUGGGAGGUAAAUUUCUUCUAAAGCUAAAUAUUGGCCAGAGACCGAUAGCGCACAAGUAGAGUGAUCGAAAGAUGAAAAGUACUUUGGAAAGAGAGUCAAAUAGCACGUGAAAUUGUUGAAAGGGAAGCGCUUGCCGCCAGACGUGGCUGUAGUUGCUCAGCUGGGCUUUUGCCCGGUGCACUCUUCUAUAGUCAGGCCAGCAUCAGUUUGGGCGGCUGGAUAAAGACCUCUGUCAUGUACCUCCUUUCGGGGAGGCCUUAUAGGGGAGGUGAAAUACAGCCAGCCUGGACUGAGGUUCCGCGCAUUUGCUAGGAUGCGGGCGUAAUGGCGGUAAGCGGCCCGUCUUGAAACACGGACCAAGGAGUCUAACAUCUAUGCGAGUGUUUGGGUGUUAAGCCCGAGCGCGUAAUGAAAGUAAACGGAGGUGGGAACCCUUAAGGGUGCACCAUCGACCGAUCCUGAUGUCUUCGGAUGGAUUUGAGUAAGAGCAUAGCUGUUGGGACCCGAAAGAUGGUGAACUAUGCUUGAAUAGGGUGAAGCCAGAGGAAACUCUGGUGGAGGCUCGCAGCGGUUCUGACGUGCAAAUCGAUCGUCAAAUUUGGGCAUAGGGCGAAAGACUAA
rnacentral:rRNA from 1 species